GACGAACGCUGGCGGCGUGCUUAACACAUGCAAGUCGAGCGGUAAGGCCCUUUCAGGGGUACACGAGCGGCGAACGGGUGAGUAACACGUGGGUGACCUGCCCUUAGCUCUGGGAUAAGCCUGGGAAACUGGGUCUAAUACCGGAUAUGACUCCAUGACGCAUGUUGUGGGGUGGAAAGCCUUGUGCGGCUAGGGAUGGGCCUGCGGCCUAUCAGCUUGUUGGUGGGGUGAUGGCCUACCAAGGCGACGACGGGUAGCCGGCCUGAGAGGGCGACCGGCCACACUGGGACUGAGACACGGCCCAGACUCCUACGGGAGGCAGCAGUGGGGAAUCUUGCGCAAUGGGCGAAAGCCUGACGCAGCGACGCCGCGUGGGGAUGACGGCCUCGG
rnacentral:rRNA from 1 species